UAUGGGUCUGAAAGUUUAUUUGAGACAUUAUUUAUUAGUUUAUUACACAACAUUCUUUUUUCAGCAUAAAUCUUAAUAUUCUGUUAAUAUUUAAAAUAGAAAUAACAUAUAAAGAAACAUAUUGAAGCAGCGUUUUAAAACAUUCAUAAAAACAAUCAACUUUCUACAAUAUGUAGUAAAUGCAUAGAAUUAUAAUGUACUGUAUAGAAAAUAUACCCUAGAAUCUGUGAGUGUGUUUGUUUGCUCAUGUGUACUUACUUCCAGCCAGGCCAGUGAUGUCCAGUUUGGGAAGGUGUCUAGCUUUCAGGACCACCACACUUAGUCUAUGAGAGACAGGCUGAUACGAAAGAGACACCAGCAGCUCACCGCGGCUCACACACUGCAAAAACCCACACAUAACAACCUCCUUCAGUUCGCUGACACCUUUCAUUCAUUCUCUUAUCUACACUACACAUCUUAAGUACUGCAUCAUGGAUCUGUAAUGAGAGGCAAGAUGGUCAUCUUGAUGUAAGGGUCAGCACUGCCAGCUUGGCUAUCCACAGCUCGUAACCCUCGCGCCUCCAGUACAGUCACCACCAGUGCCUUCUUGGGGAAAUUGUAGUCGAUGGCGAGGCUAAGGGUUCCACGAUCUGCCUCAUCCGUGAAGGGUGUGGCGCUGCUAGAUGCUGUGGUGCUUGAGCUUUGACUGCCACUGCUUGAGCUGUUCUCCAGGCAGCAGUAGUCUGCACGAACAGGAAGCUCCCUCUCAAGUCGUGGAGCCGUGUGAGCAAUCUCAUCUAAACCACCUACCUCAAACUGAGGUGUCACUGUUGGACUCUUCUCUGCACCCACAUCCACUAGCACAACAGGACACCCCUUGCCCUCUCGCUCGACAUCACUGUUAAUGCCACCAGCUCGACGCACAAGUCGCACAAUUCUCUUGCUGCUGGUCAGUGCCUCUGGGUAGAUGCUCAUGCCCUUCAGCAUGUGGAUGAAUUUGUAAGGAGGGUCUGUUAAUGGGUCACUACACUCUGUAUGGACACCAUGCAGCUUGUGGCUCAUCCUGUGGUAACGUUUUUGGCAGCAUGUCCACACAAAGAUUAAAGCCACCACUGCAACCACCAAUACGCCGGCGCCGAUGAAGCCCGCAAGUACUGGGGACAUAUCUGAAAAAGAAGUAAAUAGUGGUUUUGAGCACUACAAUAUUGUCUACCUUUAUUGUAAAACAGGGACAAACAGACAGAUUAAACACUGCAUAUACUGUAUAUACUAUAAA